UGCCGGCGACCGGCGACGGGUGCGUAACGCGUAUGUAACCUACCUUUGACAGGGGGAUAACAUCGAGAAAUUGGUACUAAUACCCCAUAACAUCACCGGAGGCAUCUUCGGUGGUUGAAAACUCAGGUGGUCAGAGAUGGACAUGCGUUGUAUUAGCUAGUUGGUGAGGUAACGGCUCACCAAGGCGACGAUACAUAGGGGGACUGAGAGGUCAACCCCCCCACAUUGGUACUGAGACACGGACCAAACUCCUACGGGAGGCAGCAG
rnacentral:rRNA from 1 species